AAAAAGGGCUUCUGUCAUGUAUGGCACAUGUAGGGCCCCUUGGUUGCUCUUCGUGAGAAAUCAACAUCAAGAGAUUUCAGAAGUAUAAUUUUUGUCACUAGGACAGCUGGUGAUUGAUGGGGAAAAAAAAUGGGAAAUGAUAUGAUCCUAGAUGCAGAAAAACCAUUUGUAAAAUUUCAGUGCCCAU
rnacentral:snRNA from 1 species